GUACGUGACCGCAAGGAGCGUCCUAAGGUAAAACAAGUAACUGGGGCUAAGUCGUAACAAGGUAGCCGUACCGGAAGGUGUGGCUGGAACACCUCCUUU
rnacentral:rRNA from 1 species